GUCAAGCAAGGCCUGGACCCAUCCUAGCACAAAUGGCACUAGCGGAACUGAGAAGCUGCUGUAAAGUUCCCCCAGGACUCCCAGGGAAACUCAGCUGACUGUUCACAACAGAUAGAAACAAAAGUCAGUUUGACUGCUUCAUCUUAAACACUUAGCAAAGACAGUUAAAACCAAAACACAGCUAUUCCUGGGCAUUUUAAAUAAUAAUAAUAGUUAAAUGUAACUUCCAAAAAUAAGUAAACUGCAGGCUGCAAAGGAGAUUCUUAGGCAGGAAUGCCUGAUAACUAUCAAAAGGAACUGCCAGGGUAGUUUUUAGUUUAAGGCCUACAGCUAUUUCUAACCUACACAGGUAGGCUUGGUGUUUGUUAGUAAGAUUAUCCAGCCCUAAGUAACAGAAUUAAAGGUUUCUCUAUUAGACACAGAGGUCAUACUAGUAAAAGGAUUUUGCAAGAUCAGAUGACAUUAAAUUAUUAAACUGUAUCUUAAGGGGAAGGACAUCUGUAACCCUAAAAGUUAAAUGUUAUGUUUACAGUCCUGGUAACUGGGGAUGUUAAAGCCUGGUGAGGGAACUUAUGUACAGUGACAUGUUCCAGCUGCUGCAACACUUAUUCAGUACUCAUGGUUUUUGUUUCUCUCACAGAAACACCCAUCCCCAGAUGACAACCUGUUUUUCCCCAACCAGACCUCAUAUGGAACUGACUUCUAAAAGGGAACUCACGUCCCCCAUGUCACCCCCCAUGUCUUCAAGCCCCCUCAUGUUCGACACCCCUUUUCAGCUCUGAAGCAGCUAGAACGAGCCGUCGCCCCUUCUCCUUACAGCAAUAAAGAGUUCCUAAAAUUAGGGGGAAUGAAGCCAGAAAUGGAUAGACAGUGUAGAUAGGUAAAUCGAGUCAGGUUGGAUGGAUAUAGGAGGCCCAUUUUGAGUGAGUCUGGGAAGUUGAAGGCGGUCUCCUGAGAUUACUGUUUACCAAGAUGUAGAGCCUGGCCAAAUAGGCCCCCAACUGAGGGAACCAUGAUUGUUUCCCAAGUUUCCAGAAAAGGGGGGGAAUGAAAAACCAGCCUCUACCUCAGAGCAAAGCCUGUCCAAGGAAGGGACAUGACCUUUGUCCUUGGAAAGACCCACAGAGCACUCCUAGGCACAUUCCCACCCUGCUAAGUGGUUUAUCUACAAAUAACAGGAGAGAUCUGCUAUGACAGGUGUCCCUGACUCAGUCAGGCUAGGUGAGGACCCAUAGCAGCCACCUAGCAGCCACCAAUUAGCAUGAGACAGGGAAAUACCUGGGAUGCCAGAUGACCCUCCCAGUAGUUUAUGGUGGUUGAUAACGUGUUGGGAAACCAUGUAGUUCAGCACGUACACCCCUCUUGGCUUAAACCAAUCAGUUCAAAUGAAUACCCCUUUUGUACUGACCAAUCACCCCUACCCAACUUGUUCCUGCCAGUGAAUGUGCUAAUCAUGUUUUAGAGUUGUUAUUUGAUUUCCCCGCGGUGUGUGAUGAUUUGCUAAGAGACGCUAUGAUGUAUGUGGGGGUCCCCGCCUUCUCCAAAGAAUGUAUAAAACUGCUGCAAACCCUGGGCUCGGGGCCUCUCAGCGUCACCAGUUGCUGUGUGCAUGCGGAGGACCGAGCUAGCUUGCAAUAAACACCUCUUUGCUGCUUAAAAAAAAAAGAAUGUAUCCCUACCCCAAACCCCUGCUGUCUCUAGGGAGCUUCCAGAGCUGGGAGGGAGUCCUCCCUGGGGUGUAGGUCCCCAAAUGCCAGACUUUGAGGCCUGACUCUCUUCCCUUGACUGUGCCCCGAGAGGACCUAGUUUGCCACUAACUUUGCUGCUGCAGUUAUUCAAAGGUAGAAGACUAAAGCUAAAAACCAAAAAAACACCAAAACACCCCAGGAAUCCUUAUGGGAGGUGAGCUGAAGAAAAGCAGCCCUGAGCCGGGAAGCAGAAGUGCAUCCUCUUCCAGAAAGGUUGGACUACACGGAGUGAUUCCGUCUCCUCAUCUCAUCAGCUGAAUGGAAGGUGAGGAAAGUGAGGCUCAGAGAGAUUAAGUAAUUUGCCCAAAGUAACACAGCCAGUAUGUAACCUCGGACCCCGAAGCCCGUGUUCUCUCCAGUCCUUCACACUGCAGCAGAACUCCUUACAGGCACCGCUUAGACCCUUCCCGAUGGUUCUAGCGGAUCUUGGAAGACCAGCAUCAGUGGUACGUUCGCUGAGCAGCGCCACCCUUAUCAAGGAGGAAGUAUUAAAAGCUGUGCCAAAAGAAGCACAGGCAGCAUUUCUGGAAGGGGAUGCCAAUGUCACACUGGAGGAGGACUAGAGAACACACCACAUCUGCUACUGCUCUGGUCUUCAGAAAGGCGAGUCAGCAUGCUGGCUUUAAAGACCCUGGGAGCUGCAGACCCUGGAGUUAAAGCAGGACACCCAUCAAAGGAAAAACGGAAUGUGGCCUUGCUUGCCGGAUUGCCAGGGAGGCUGGAACGAGCGCAUGUCCCAACAGGCUCCUGCCCAGAUAAAGCCUGAUGCCACCCAGGUGAGAGUUCCACUCUGGGAAGCUACACAGAACUGCUUCAUUGCUCCUGAAGGAGUGGAGAAAUCCAAAAAUGAGAAAUCUGAGGGGUGGGGCUAUGGCUCAGUGGCAGAGCGCUCACCUAGCACACGCAAGGCACUGGGUUCAAACCUCAGCACCACAUAACAAUGAAACAAAGAUACUGAGUCCACCUACAACUAAAAAAUAAAUAUUUAAAGGGCUGGGGUUGUAGCUCAGUGGUAGAGGGCUCACCUUGCAUGUGGAAGUCACUGGGUUCAAUCCUCAGCACCACAUAAAAAU
rnacentral:lncRNA from 1 species